rnacentral:piRNA from 1 species
UGGUGGGUCUGACUUGAUAUU